ACCCGAAGCCGAGGUGAUCUACCCAUGAGCAGGUUGAAGGUUGCUUAACCGCAACUGAAGGACCGAACCCGUGAAGGUUGAAAACUUCUGGGAUGACUUGUGGGUAGGAGCGAAAGACUAAUCAAACCCGGUGAUAGCUGGUUCUCCCCGAAAUAGCUUGAGGGCUAGCCUCGUGUGCUGACCUGCGGAGGUAGAGCACUGGAUGAACUAGGGCCCAUACCAGGGUACCGAACUCAAUCAAACUCCGAAUGCCGCAGGGUGUAACACGGGAGUCAGUGCGUGGGGGAUAAGCUUCACGCGCGAGAGGCAAACAUGCCAGACCAGCAGCUAAGGUGCCCAAAUACCGUUCAGUGGAAAGGAUGUGAGGUUGCUUAGACAGUGAGGAUGUUGGCUUAGAGGCAGCCAUCAUUUAAACAGUGCGUAAUAGCUGACUCAUCGAGCGAUCUCGCGCCGAUAAUGAUUGGCGAUAAACGGUAUACCGAAGCUCUGGAAGACAUUCUGGUUCGCCAGGAUGGAUUGGUAGGGGAGCGUUCUUAAUGCAUCGAAGCGCAAGGGAAACCGAACGUGGAGCGUUAAGAAGUGAGGAUGCAGACAUGAGUAGCGAUAAGACAGGUUAAAUUCCUGUCCGCCGUAAACCCAAGGUUUCCUGGGGAAGGUUCGUCCUCCCAGGGUUAGUCGGGACCUAAGUCGAGGCCGAAGGGCGUAGACGAUGGACAGCAGGUUUAAUAUUCCUGCACCGGCUGUGGUUAAGUUUAGUUGUGACACAUGAGUAGAGACAGGCCGCCGAUUGAAAGUGACGGUCUGCUCGCAAGGGCAAGGACGGGGAGGCCUCGGCUGAACCGGAUCUGUUAAAACUUGUGUCAAGAAAAGCAACUAAAUGUUCCCACGGUUGCCCGUACCGUAAUCCGACACAGGUGGGUGAGUAGAGUAUACUCAGGCGCGUGAGUGAAACCUCGUUAAGGAACUCGGCAAUCUAGCCCCGUAACUUCGGAAGAAGGGGUGCCCCCUCCUUUUUGCCACCGGCCAAAAAGGAGGAAUUUGAGAUUUCAAAUUUGAAAUUUGAGAUUCCUUUCGCUGGAAGCAGAAAGGAGGGGGUCGCAGUGAAAUGGGUCAACCGACUGUUUAACAAAAACACAGCACUCUGCCAAGUCGUUAAGACGACGUAUAGGGUGUGACACGUGACCAAUGCGGAAAGAUUAUGGCAAGACGUCAGCCGCAAGGCGAAGCGUUGAACCGAAGUCCCCGUGAAUGUCGGCCGUAACUAUAACGGUCCUAAGGUAGCGAAAUUCCUUGUCGGGUAAGUUCCGACCUGCACGAAUCGUGUAACGAGUUGACCGCUGUCUCAACGAGGAGCUCAGCGAAGUUGUAGUGGCGGUGAAGAUGCCGCCUACCCGCAGUAGGACGGAAAGACCCUAUGCACCUUUACUACACGCUGUUACUGUUGUUUCGAUUUUGAUGCUUAGCGUAAGUGGGAGGCUUUGAAGCGGUCCUUUUGGGGAUCGCUGAGCCAACAAUGAAACACCACCCUUCGGAAUUGGAAUAACUAACCUCAUGCCCUCUAUCGGGCUGAGGGACACUGGCAGCCGGCUAGUUUUACUGGGGCGGUAUCCUCCCAAAGAGUAACGGAGGAGUACGAAGGUUGGCUCAACCUGGUUGGCAAUCAGGUGUCGAGUAUAUGGAUAUAAGCCAGCUUAACUGUGAGACACACACGUCGAGCAGAUACGAAAGUAGGUCCAAGUGAUCCGGUGGUUGAAUGUGGAAUUGCCAUCGCUCAACGGACAAAAGGUACGCUAGGGAUAACAGGCUGAUCCUGCCCAAGAGCUCAUAUCGACGGCAGGGUUUGGCACCUCGAUGUCGGCUCAUCACAUCCUGGGGCUGGAGAAGGUCCCAAGGGUCCGGCUGUUCGCCGGUUAAAGUGGUACGCGAGCUGGGUUCAGAACGUCGCGAGACAGUUCGGUCCUUAUCCACUGUGGGCGCAGGAGAAUUGAGGGGUUCAGACCUUAGUACGAGAGGACCGGGUCUGACGAACCGCUGGUGUUCCAGUUGUUCUGUCAAGAGCAGUGCUGGGUAGCUAUGUUCGGAAAGGAUAAGCGCUGAAAGCAUCUAAGCGCCAAGCCUAUCCCAAGAUGAGUUCUCCCUGAAGAGUCGUGGUAGACCACCACGUUGAUAGGUUACUGGUGUAAGCGUAGUAAUACGUUCAGCUAAGUAAUACUAAUAACUCGUUCGGCUUGGUC
rnacentral:rRNA from 1 species